AACGUAAUAUCUUAAUGGGUAAAGUUUUGUGCUACGGACACAAAGUAUGUAAGUUCAAGUCUUAUUUACGUUU
rnacentral:tRNA from 1 species